CUCACCCUCAUUCUUUUCUUUUCUUCUUUACACAGACGCUUGGAUCCAAUUGCCUCAUCCUUGCCGCCGAUCCAAAUUAAAAAAAAAAAAAUCCUGAUCUGAUCUGAUCUGUUCUGCUCUGUUUCUCUGUUACUUGAUUCUCUGUUACUAUAAACUGAUUCUUUUAUUACUCAUACAAAUCGAUCAUCAACGAUCGUGAAACCGGUAGAUCGAAGGAAUGAACUGCCAGAACCUUGACGGCCGCAACAUCACAGUCAACGAGGCUUAGUCUCGUGAUAACGGAGGCGGCGGUGGUGGCGGAGGCUACAGCCGUGGUGGAGGUGGUUACGGAGGCGGCGGACAUCGCGAAGGUGGAGGAUUCGCUUCGGGAUCUGAGGAAAACGUCGUCGUCGUCAUCGGCGGUGGCCCUGGUGGUUACGUGGCCGCCAUCAAAGCCGCUCAGUUGGGUCUGAAGACCACUCCAGCUUUUACUUUCAUACUUGCCAUCAUCUCCAGGAUCAAAAAUCAUCAAAAAAUAUCUGUCCUUUGAUUGCGAAAACCGGAGAUGUCACUUUGUGUCCUUACAAUGAUAAGUGCGGAUUUAGCCACGACGUUGAAGGGUUUAAAGCUCAGAAACCGGAGGAUAUAGAAGGGGAGUGCCCGUUUUUGGAUUCAAAGGAGCCGUGUCCUUAUGGCUUAGCUUGUAGGUUUUUGGGCACGCAUAAAAGUAAAGAUAAAGAUGGUGUUUUGGGUGGUAAGAAGAAGAUGAGUGAUGAGUGUAAUGGGUUGAAUAAGGAUGUUCAGAAGCUUUUGUGGAAAAAUAAAAUGAAAUUUCCUAAGGCUGAUGCCAAGCUCAAAGCUCUUGGUCUCCUGGUAACUAUGCUAAGAUUUUACUUUUCUACUUAAAAUGCAUUUAUGUAUUUGUAUUUUUAUCUUGCAUACUACCUUUAUUGUUAUUUAGAAAGAGAAGCUUGUAAAGAUUUUCGUAUGGGUUUUAUUGAUUUAGAGAGUGUGUAUGAUAGAGACUAUAGACUACGUAGAGAGAUUAUGGGGUGGGUUUAGAUAAGAUUAAGGAUAUGUACAACGCUAGUUGUAACUGGCGUGAGAACAAAUGGAUCGAUAAUUCAUAUUCAUCUUUUUCUCUUGCA